GCCCUCGUAGCCCAACGGCAGAGGCGACGGUCUGAGGGGCCGUAGGUUGCGCGUUCGAAUCGCGCCGAGGGCA
rnacentral:tRNA from 1 species